AAAAAUAUUGACAGUUUUUCUUGCAUUCUCGAACACAUCGAUGAUAUGAAGAUAAACUUGGAAGCUUCUCUCUUUCCAACAAUACAUCGAAAGUCCGAACGAGUUAUCUCCGAAGAACCAAGAAGCGAAGCUCUAACGUCUAAUCUUCAAAGAUCUGAUGAACUGUAAAUGAAUCUCUCAAGGAGCUCUCAACCCAUGAAUCUUGUCAUUAGUUGCUUGAAUCGAAGGGAAGAGAACCUAGAACCUAACAUAUUGUCCUUGAUUUUAAACCUUUUUCAGGUGAAGCAAAUGAACAAAGGAUAGAUGAUAGCAGUGAAGAAGCUUGGUAGUUUUGAUUGAUCCUUACUAGAUUUUUUUAACGUCCUAGGAAUCUUUUAUGUUUGAACUUUUUGAAAAUUUAUGUAUGUCAAUCCUUAAAUUGUCAAACAUAUUGUAUAUUUUGUUGUUAUAUAUGGAUAAUACGAGUUGGAUUUGCGAUGUAUA